GCACCGGUGUUGGCAAUUUGCUCAUCCCCUUAAUCAUCCUAUUUAAACUGCACACGGGGGAGGAGGGGGGCGAGUGUAAUUUGUUUUAAACCGUCCUGCAUUAUUUCUCUUGAGGAAAACUCACCGUGAUAUUCCUACAUUGUUUCUCAGCGCAUGCAGAGUCUUACCGGAGAUUUGAGUCUGUGGUGCGGUGCCUGUGCUGUACCCCUUCUCCGCGUACACCUGCCGGGUGUCGGCGCAGCUCCUCCCUGCAGCAGCCGCGGGGCUCCGGGUCCCCGACAGUACGCAGACCGUGCAGAGCAGGACCAGCAGCGGGUACCUGGUCAAAGAUAACCGGGCAUCCAUCUUCACAGCGGGACUCAGCAAGCGACAGCAGGGGAGAGGACGGGUUUAUGUAAAAGCAGACUGAGGGUGUUGCGGCACCUUUAUGAAUAAAUAAAUAAAUAGAUGGCCGGUUUAGAUGCAAACAAAAGUAAGAGUCUCCCAAAUCGUCAGUCGUUUAAAGCAGUCAUAUUUUCCCCCGAUGAGUGCAAUGAACAGAUGCGUUUUUACAUCACACAUAUGUUUCCAUCGACCGCGUCCCGUUAGUUUGUCCUUCCUGGGAGAUUCGCUCCUGUGCGUAAAUAAAAAGAGUAUGUGAAUGGGCCACUCCGUCCCUCAGACUCAUCUAACAGCCAAACUGCGCCAAGUUCACGGGAGUUAGUAGGACAACACCGGAAAAGUGACUGUUUAGAAGAAUAAAAGCAGAGGCAACUUCAUUGGCCAAAGCAUUUUUUUCAGCAAGGCGAGUCAAAGCUCGUUUUUUUUUGCAAAAGCCAUAACGGACAGGAGACGAGAAAGACAAAGAAGAAAUAUUAAGACAGGCAAGAAGAUAAAAUGUGCUGUGCUAUACGAUAUAUGAAUGGAUAGUCUCAAAUUUAGCUGAGUAAAAGGCAGUGACAAACAGUAA